CUUUGACCGAUAAUCAUACUGGAUGGAAAACACACGGGAGACCUUGCUGGAACCCCGCUUCUAUGAACUCUUCUAGCAGUCAUGUUUGAGGAUUCCUCUGUGCCAUGUUCCAUAUCGCUAAGCAACUUGAAACAUGUUCAGGACUACUCAAGGUGGCAUGACUGGGAGAUCGCUUCAAUAUACUCUUGGGACUACUCAUGGAUUUUGCCUGAGAAAAUGAAAAAUCUUCCUCUUCAUGAUCAGAGCUAGCUGGUUCCUCAGCCUUUGGAACAGCAGGUGCCAGGGAGAACAUGGCAACAUUGAAUGUGGCUGCUCGAAUUGGCCUUUCAGACACAGAAUGACCCAAGUGGCCAUUCAUACGAAUAGUAGAACUAUUGGUGCCUGGUUGCUGUUUAGAGUGAAGUUUAGAGCUCAGUUUUCCAAGCCUCUUGAUGACAACUUUGGGCCUCGGGCGCUUCCAUAAUAGCCGCCGUAUCCUUGAGCAGAUUUGCCGGAGUUUCCUUCUAAGGAUACUUGACGAGUUGGAUAAAUGGUUAUUGCAAAAGUUCUCAAAAACCAUUGUCGGUUUCAUGUUCCAACAAAGUUCUGACGAUUAAUAAUAUGAGAGCACCCAAGUAACUUUAGUUGGACAUUAGCCUUUUAUUAAGAGAAGAUGGUACUGCUGAAAAAGUAAUGUUGGUGAGAGAGAGGAAAGUAGUUAUAGGGUAUAGGGACAAAUAAAGAUUCCAACUACUCCAAAGUGAGGGGAACGUUGACAAUGGCGCAAAAUGUCGAGGUUUGUUUUCCAAAACACACCAACUGCUGUCAUUACCAGUAAAAUGUUGAGUUUGACCCUGAAUAGUACGAUUCUGAGAUAGAUUUCAAAAGACUUGAGGCAGGAAUUUGGCUUUAAUGAACUUUUCUGAAGUUGAUUUUAUAGUAGGAAUUCAGGCAUUAGGAUUCUGUACAGUCCGAACUCUGAAGUGGACAGUGGAAGAAUGAUAGAUAUGUGAAACCAAACGUUUAGUAAAUGUCGUAAAAUCUCA